rnacentral:lncRNA from 1 species
UAGGACGUCCACAAAUGCGAUAGAUAUACAAUGUAUGGUCAGAUUUAAAAACAAUGGGGCUACCCACUGACCCAACUAUCAAGAACGACCGUUUGACAUGGAAGCAAGUUGUACAGUCAGUGCAGUCAGCCAAGACCCACCCCGAGUUGUAGUGCUACGAGAAGAAGAAGAAGAAGAAAAAGAAGGCACCUCUCGAUUUGAAAACGCUAUGGUCUUCACGGAGACUUAACAGUGAGAGUUUGGGGAGAUGUUUUAUCAGCUAAAGUAAAGUUCGUGUAACCUUCUAGCUAAGGUCCAAGUUAGGAUUCUCAGGUCGCGCAAGCGCCCAUGACUUAACGACUACUUACGUAGCCUGGACCCGAUGGCUUUACGUGGCCUCCGAAGCACGGUGGCGGCUCAGUUAAAUAAGAAAUUGAAAAAUUUGUCAGUACCAGGAUUCGAACCCGGGCCCUCCAGCUUGUUAAGCCAGUAACAUAGCCACUUCGUUAUGGUCGCCACAAGAAUUUGUAUCAGCUGACGCUAUGGAGCAGGUCAUCAAGUUGAUGGUAUGAUACGGUGGUGGUACUAUUACUAAUAUCUUUAAGUGCUGAUAUUAUACAAUAUUUGUUGCUACAUAUUUAACAUGCUAGUUUCCAAAAAAAAAAA